UACGUAGGGUGCGAGCGUUAUUCGGAAUUACUGGGCGUAAAGUGUGCGCAGGCGGCGUUGCAAGUCGAGUGUGAAAUCCCCGAGCUUAACUUGGGAAUUGCGCUCGAAACUACGAUGCUCGAGUAUGGCAGAGGAAGGUGGAAUUCCACGUGUAGCGGUGAAAUGCGUAGAGAUGUGGAGGAACACCGAUGGCGAAGGCAGCCUUCUGGGCCAAUACUGACGCUCAUGCACGAAAGCGUGGGGAGCAAACAGG
rnacentral:rRNA from 1 species